UAAUACGCAUGCUGCUUUGAAGAGCAGCAGCGCCAUUUUUCAAUUGGCUGUGCGGUGGCGUUUGUUUUUGUAAAAUAAAUAUUUUUCUUUCCUGUAACUAUUUGUAAAUGGGCAAUAAUAUUAAACACAUCUCUCAAGAAUGAUUACUGCAUACAACAUCCGAAUAUGGCUGUGGCGCAGACAAUUUCGGGAGCCGAUGUCCAAUGUGGAAGGUUGGAAUUGGAUAGGAAGAAUAUCAGGGAAGCGUCCUGUAAAAUAUUGGCUGUAUGGUCCAUUGAAUGAUCUCCAAUAAAGCAUUACAUGAUACUAAAUAAUAAAUAUUGAUUGUUUCAUUUACAUUAGUUUGAGAUUGUUUUAAAUUAAUUUUGUGAAAAAAUCAACUUGAAUGCAGAGCGAAAUGAAUGAAAAAAA